rnacentral:piRNA from 1 species
UUGCCCUNUAUAGUAAGACAAUAGAAUAUGU